UCCGUAGGUGAACCUGCGGAAGGAUCAUUACAAGUAAUAAGUACCCAGUACCUAUUAUAAACCCAUCCGUGUAUCUUACCCGUUGCUUCCGUGGCGCGGCGCACCGCCCUGGCGGGGCUCCCCCACGGGAGGUACAAACCAAAAACAUUGCAUUGCCAUGAUAUCUGUCUGAAAUGAAAACAACAAAAGUUAAAACUUUCAACAACGGAUCUCUUGGUUCUCGCAUCGAUGAAGAACGCAGCGAAAUGCGAUAAGUAGUGUGAAUUGCAGAAUUCAGUGAAUCAUCGAAUCUUUGAACGCACAUUGCGCCUCCUGGUAUUCCGGGAGGCAUGCCUGUUCGAGCGUCAUCAAGAAAACCUCAAGCGUAUUUUUCGCUUGGUCUUGGAGCGUGAGGUGCCGCUGGCGCGGCCCUCUGCUUCGAAAUGCAAUGGCGGAAAGUCUAAGGUGCCCCGGCGUAGUAAGUUCAUCUUUCGCUCGGUCCCGUAGGCGUUCCCGCCCUCAAAUCCCCACUAUUUUAAGUUGACCUCGGAUCAGGUAGGGAUACCCGCUGAACUUAAGCAUAUCAAUAAGCGGAGGA
rnacentral:rRNA from 1 species